rnacentral:lncRNA from 1 species
GCAAGGUUUAUUCAUGCUCCAAAAAACCCAAGCCUUUUUCUCUUCUCUUCUGCUCUCUCUCCCUGUAAGAAACAGACCUGAAACAAGCUAAGGAAAAAAAUAAUAUAUGUAUAUGGGAAAAGAACAGGAAUAAUAAUGCUGAAACAAAACAACCAGGAAAAAAGAAAGCAAAAGCUGUUUUUUUUUUUUCUUUGCAGUGGGGACAGCAGGUGGGAGCUUUCCAAGCCAGACAAAGGAGACCUGACAAGGACCUGUGGUGAAGGGACAAGCCCAAGGCAAGGAAGUGUCCGGUCACCUCUUCUCCUGGAGCAGGCAGCAGAGACCUGGACAGACAGGAGACAUCUUGCACGACUCAUCACCUGGAGCAGUGCUAACCAGGUGGGCAGCCCUGAUGUCAGGCAAGCUGUACGUGCUCAUCAGCUGGCCCGACGGCAGCCGGGUCAUCAGCAUGGAGAACAUCAAGGAGCCCCGCAAGCCCUUCCACCUCUACAGUGUGGGGGAGCAGGUCCUGGCCCGCUGCCCUGGCUUCAGUGGCCUCUACUGGGGUGUGGUGGAAGGCAUCAGUGGUAAGUGACACCCCCCUGGCCUGGGUUUGCAAUCUGGGGCUGCUCAGGAGCAACCUUCCAAAAAGGAGUUUAGUGCCAAAAAAUCUUCUGUUACUACAGAGCAGAAAGGUAUUUUGGAGAAGAAGCUGCUGGAAGAUCGACAGCUCCUGGAGAAGCUAAAAGAAGAACCAGCUGUCCACAGCAUGAUGCCGUCCCCACCAAAAAAAUCCAGGAAAACCUUUCCAAAAUGGACCCCAGGGAAUGCAUCCAGGAAACACCCCAGUGACAGGACCUGUCCUGCAAAGCCUCUGCUGAAGGUGGCUGAGGCCAGCCUGCCCCAUGAUGCCAGCAACUCCUCCAUCCUCAAGGACAGGCGUGUCCUGGGAAGCGUGGCAGGGAGCCCCCGCUCGCUGGCAGCUCCCCCACACCCAGCCAGUGCCUUCACCCCUCCAUCCUCCUUCAUCACCAUGGCCAUGCCAGGGCCAGGCACUUCCCAGAGUGAAGAGGACAGGGCUGGUCCAGCUGCAAGAGCAGAUUAUGUUGCCCUACCAAUGAAGAGGAAGUCAGAUGGCAUCUUUUCCCCGUGCCAGCAGCAGAUCUGUCUGAACAGCCGUGAGGAGCAAAAGAUUGAUGCUUUGCAAGAGAUGGAUGGCUUUGAGAGGGCUCACAAAAAUUUCAGUCCUGCUGAGGUGGAAAGGGUGGAGAAGAUGGAGCAGCUGGAAAGGAUGGUGCUGGAGCUCCAGCAGGAUGUCCUCUCUCUGAAGAAGAAGGUGCAGAGGCUGGAAUCCCUGUCCUUCCAGGAGGAGCCCCACCGACAGCCAUGUGAGGUGGUGGAGCUCUUCAAUGGCUACACCAAGGAGCAGCUGAAAGAGACCAUCAGGUUUGACCAGAAAAUCAGCACAGCCUGCAAGACUCUGCUCUACAAGCUCUUCACCUCUGACUACAUCCAGAGCCACUCCAUCACGGGACGCAGGGGCAACACCUUCCGCGAGGCGAAGCCCAUGAUGGACGAACGCUGCAUCAAAAUCAUCAGGGUGCUGCUGAAGCAGAAGUUUGGGGAUCACCUCAGUGACAGUGUGAUCACAGAGAAGAUCCAGAACGUGCAGAAAGCCCUGAGGCAGAAGUUUAAGACAGAGUGUCUCUGAGGUGUGGGAGAUUUGGUGUCUCCUCCUGCCAUUCCCGUGUGUGUCCCUGAGCAGCUUUCCCAGGAGAGAUGAGCUGAGCAGCUGCUGCUCAGUAGAUUUCCCCCAGGGAGCCAGCCCAAGUAAACCAUGUGCUAAACACAGCUCAAACACUGCCAAACCUCUUCCUCCAUUAACCAAGCAGGAACUGGGCCCAGCUUGGCUCAGUUUUUGCACUCUACAAGUUCCUUCCCAUCCAGCCUGUGUGCAAACCUCACUGUGGGUGCAUGGAAUCGCCUCUGUGACUCUGAUGAUGUGCUCAAAGGCUCUAUUUGAGUCCAAGAAUGGGUCAGGAAGGUAGCCCUCUUCCACACUGCAGAUAUGUUGGCUUUGGGAUAGGGAAUCCAGCUGCAGACAGGCUGUGUCACCCAAUGCAGCUUCUCUCUGUCUGCCUCUGGUUGCCUCAUUCUGCCUGUGGGACAAUAUUUACUCUUUCCUCACAGUGAAUGUUUUAUUUCCAGCACUAACAAAAAGGCAGACUCAUUAAAAUGACAUCUUAAAACAUUCAGAAAAAGAUAACUUGUUUUUUUUCUGUUUAUCUUAAUGUAGCUAUAUAGAGGAGUUGUCUUCCCUAAGAAAAGCCUGCUGAACAAGAGGAGGGGUCAAUUAAUGAACUUCCAAGGGAACCCAUGGAAGUUCCAUUAAUUUUCCUUUCAAGAUCAGAUUAUUUCCAUACAGGAGAAAUCUCUAACAUUUUUAUGACUCAAGAGUGAGGCAUGGAGGACAAAAUAUGGCCCAACUUUGCUUUGAAGGUAUAUAUCUUGUGGACACUGUCACUAUUAUUUAAAUACAGUAUUUUUAUCCUAGAUAAAAAAUGCCAAGUACAGUCAGUCCCUUUGCUGAGGGACUACAGAGAAGGUCUAGAAAGAGAAAUCUUUUCCUAAAUAAUUCAGAGCUGGAGUGUGGGUGGAUUAAAAUUGUUCUAAGUGUUAAAAGAAUGAGAUGCUGACACCAGUCCAGCACUUAACAGAAGUGCUGCAAAAUCCCAAACAUUCCCUUUUACAGAGGCUUCUCAGACAGGGAAUUGGUUUUCUCAGCUUAAUUUUUAAAUUAUUCAGGAAAAGAAAUGCCAGUGGGUUUGCAUUAAUCAAAACAUUUGGUUUAAUUUAUAUGUUUUGUUGUGUUUUCAAAUAUUUAAUUUCUUCACAGUUACAUGAGAAAUAAUAAUGCAAAAUAAAUGUAUUGGAGAAACAAGGAGCUGUUUUGAA